rnacentral:rRNA from 1 species
GAUGAACGCUGGCGGCGUGCCUAAUACAUGCAAGUAGAACGCUGAAGCUUGGUGCUUGCACCGAGCGGAAGAGUUGCGAACGGGUGAGUAACGCGUAGGUAACCUGCCUCUUAGCGGGGGAUAACUAUUGGAAACGAUAGCUAAUACCGCAUAAAAGUCGGCAUUGCAUGAUGUUGACUUGAGAGGUGCAACUGCAUCACUAAGAGAUGGACCUGCGUUGUAUUAGCUAGUUGGUGAGGUAACGGCUCACCAAGGCGUCGAUACAUAGCCGACCUGAGAGGGUGAUCGGCCACACUGGGACUGAGACACGGCCCAGACUCCUACGGGAGGCAGCAGUAGGGAAUCUUCGGCAAUGGACGGAAGUCUGACCGAGCAACGCCGCGUGAGUGAAGAAGGUUUUCGGAUCGUAAAGCUCUGUUGUAAGAGAAGAACGAGUGUGAGA